rnacentral:rRNA from 1 species
UUAAAUUGCUAAGGGCACAUGGUGAAUGCCUUGGCACUAGAAGCUGAUGAAGGACGCGACAAACAGCGAUAUGCUUCGGGGAGUAGUAAGUAUACUUUGAUCCGGAGAUUUCCGAAUGAGGGAACUCAGCUACGGUAAUGCGUAGUUAUUGCAUAAUAAAUUCAUAGUUAUGUAAGAGCAACCCGGUGAACUGAAACAUCUUAGUAACCGGUGGAAAAGAAAGAAAAAUCGAUUUCCUUAGUAGUGGCGAGCGAAACGGAAAUAGCCCAAACCAAUCUUAGGAUUGGGGUUGUAGGACCAUACAUUAAGAGUAAAAAAAUCAUAAUAUAGUUGAACUAGUUGGGAAGCUAGACUGUAAAAGGUGAUAGUCCUGUAAACGAAAUAUUAUGAACUCUGUAGGGUAUCCUGAGUACGGCGAGACACGUGAAAUCUUGUCGGAAUCUGCGGGGCCCAUCCCGUAAGGCUAAAUACUCUCUAGUGACCGAUAGUGAACAAGUACCGUGAGGGAAAGGUGAAAAGAACCCCGGGAGGGGAGUGAAAUAGAAUACUGAAACCAUGUGCUUACAAGAAGUCAGAGCUCGUUAAUGAGUGAUGGCGUGCCUUUUGCAGAAUGAACCGGCGAGUUAUUGUACCAUGCAAGGUUAAGUUGAAGAAACGGAGCCGAAGCGAAAGCGAGUCUGAAUAGGGCGAGUUAGUAUGUUGCAAUAGACCCGAAACCGAGUGAUCUAGCCAUGAGCAGGUUGAAGUUUAGGUAAAACUAAAUGGAGGACCGAACCGACGUACUAGGAAACGUGCGCGGAUGACUUGUGGCUAGCGGUGAAAUUCCAAUCGAACUCGGAUAUAGCUGGUUCUCCCCGAAAUAGGUUUAGGCCUAGCGUUGAGCUAAGCGCCUUGAAGGUAGAGCACUGAAUACAUGAUGGCGGCACCUAGCUGUACUGAGUGUAAUCAAACUCCGAAUGUUAAGGUUAGCAUGUUCAGCAGUCAGUGUACGGGUGAUAACGUCCGUACGCAAAAGGAAAAGAAUCCAGAUCGCCAGCUAAGGUCCCUAAAUAUAUGCUAAGUGGGAAAGGAUGUGGAGUUGUCAAAACAGCUAGGAGGUUGGCUUAGAAGCAGCCAUCCUUUAAAGAGUGCGUAAUAGCUCACUAGUCGAGUGGCUCUGCGCCGAAAAUGUACCGGGGCUAAACACAAUACCGAAGCUGUGGAUUUAUACUUAUGUAUAGAUGGUAGGGGAGCGUUCUAAGGGCGCUGAAGGUAGACCGUGAGGACUACUGGAGCGCUUAGAAGUGAGAAUGCCGGUGUGAGUAACGUAAGGUAGGUGAGAAUCCUACCCACCGAAUGACCAAGGUUUCCAGGGUAAAGUUCGUCUUCCCUGGGUUAGUCAGGACCUAAGGCGAGGCUGAAAAGCGUAGUCGAUGGACAACAGGUUUAUAUUCCUGUACUUCCUAUAUGACUGAUGGAGUGACGGAGAAGGAUAGCAAGAGCCUAUUAUUGGAUUUAGGUUUAAAUGCUUAGGUUAGUGAGUUGGAAAAUCCGCUACACUAUUAAAACUGAAACAUGAUGACGCCGAUUCCUACGGGGAUCUAAGUCUUGUGAAUCCAUGCUUCCAAGAAAAACUUCUAAAGAUAUUGUAUAGGAACCUGUACCGCAAACCACCACAGGUGGUCAAGGAGAGAAUCCUAAGGUGAGCGAGAGAACUAUGGUUAAGGAACUCGGCAAAAUGACCCCGUAACUUCGGGAUAAGGGGAGGUCACUUCGGUGACCCGCAGAGAAUUGUCCCAGGCAACUGUUUACCAAAAACACAGGUCUCUGCUAAAGCGUAAGCUGAUGUAUAGGGGCUGACGCCUGCCCAGUGCUGGAAGGUUAAGAGGAGAUGUUAGUUGGACGCAAGUCGAUAACAACGAAGCUUCGAAUUGAAGCCCCAGUGAACGGCGGCCGUAACUAUAACGGUCCUAAGGUAGCGAAAUUCCUUGUCAGGUAAG